rnacentral:lncRNA from 1 species
UGUGACCCUGGGCUGCUCAGCAUUCAUGUGGAAAUGAAGGAAGGAGGACUGGAUCAAUCCCAUUUGAAAGCAUCCUUCUCUGCAGCCCACACAAUCCUCCAAUGACACUGACAGAGGUGUACCCUCCUAGUGUACUGGGACCAAAAUUCGGAAGUGUCUGCAAACUUGCUUUAACCGUAUGGGAAAUAACCUCUAUCACCUGGAAUUUCCUUGGGACUUUGGAAAAUACAAGAGAAGUAUGAGACUUGGGUCUUCCCUUGGCUGUGUUUAAUUCACUCUUCUAUGGAAUACCAAUGAUUCUCACUAAGACUUUUGCCUUUUUAUAACCACAAUGUAUGCUUUAUGGAG